AAGACCACAGUUUCCUGUCGCGUGGAUGUGUUUCCUCUCUCUGGCCAUUGCCAUCCGCCCAAAUCUACAGACAUCCCGCAUGUUCCCGGGCUCGUCUCCCCAAUACAGGGCACCUAGGCUGUAGACUGCGCAGCCCUCCUGGAGACAGAUGGAAGCUCCUUGGGUCGACAGAUUACAGCUUCUGGAACCCCCUACUCCCUUCAACUCCGAGAUGGACACCCACUGUCCAGGGAGAGGAUGCCUGGAAAUAACAGCUGGGAUCUACAGUGGCCAAAGAGUUGUCUCCGUCUUGCUACAUCUACAAACUGGUGCUCCUGACCACUUCGGAAGCGUUUUCCUCUCCACUCUGUGACAACAGGCAAGAGUGAGGGUCCAACAAUACAGAGGAAGUAACGUGUCGCUGCUACUCUUCCAUGCCCAGUGCCAGGAGCGACGGUACACUCCAGAGUGUUGUGCCCUGAUGGGCCUUUGAGCGGCCAGUGCAGUGGAUCAUCAGCCCUGUCUCCCAAGAGCUCCAAUCUCUUCUCUGGAGAGGAAGGGAGUCCACUGGCAGCUCAGGAGGCCAUAGCAGCCUUACGGAAGUGUGGGUGGCGCUUUCUGGAAGCUGCACGAGUCAGUGCUGGGUCUUUGCAACUUGGUGUUCUGUUUCCAGAAACUUGGGGUGUUUGCAUGUGCUAGGUCAGCACAGAUUUCCAAAGGAUCCCUAGGAUUGUCACGUGUGCUCAACAGUCCUCCUCGGCUUUCCAGAAGAGGCUGGAACAGGGCCCUUGAAGAUGUUUGUGGACAUCAGAGGGCCAAAGACGACACAAAGUGAAACUGGAGACACCGCCCCCCCCCCCCUGGCAUCAUGAAACUGCCGAUGUUACUGGCUCAUGCAAAGGCUGUGUUCUGUCCCUGUGACCAUCAGCCAGUGCCUGGAAAGACUGGUGACAAGAACUUGUUGCCAACUUCCUAUUACCUCCCUAACAGUUGUGCAAUAAACCCCAUAGGUUAAUUCAGUCUGCCUUUUAAA
rnacentral:lncRNA from 1 species